rnacentral:rRNA from 1 species
GUGUCAGCAGCCGCGGUAAUACGAAGGUCCCGAGCGUUGUUCGGAAUCACUGGGCGUAAAGGGAGCGUAGGCGGUUUGGUAAGUCAGAUGUGAAAUCCCGGGGCUCAACCCCGGAACUGCAUCCGAUACUGCCAGACUUGAGUAAUGGAGAGGUAGCUGGAAUUAUCGGUGUAGCAGUGAAAUGCGUAGAUAUCGAUAGGAACACUCGUGGCGAAAGCGAGCUACUGGACAUUUACUGACGCUGAGGCUCGAAGGCUAGGGGAGCGAAAGGGAUUAGAUACCCCCGUAGUCC